CCUGCGCGGCAGACGCGCGUCUGCGCGCUACGGGGCUGCCGGCGCGCUACUGGGCUGCCGGCGCGUCAGUGCUCUGGGCUAAGGUAGCUGGGGCCGAGUUGGGGGGCGGGACGUGCGGCGCUAUGGCCGAGGGCAGCGGGGAAGUAGUAGCAGUGCCCGCCACCGGGGCUGCCAACGGCCUCAACAAUGGGGCCGGCGGGCCCUCGGCGCAGACUAACAACCCGCUAUCGCGGAAACUGCGUAAGAUCCUGGACACACGGCUGGACAACGACAAGGAGAUGUUGGAAGCUCUCAAGGCACUCUCAACCUUUUUUGUUGAAAAUAGUUUGCGCACUCGAAGAAAUUUACGUGGAGAUAUUGAACGCAGAAGUUUAGCCAUCAAUGAAGAGUUUGUAAGCAUUUUCAAGGAAGUGAAGGAAGAACUUGAAAGCAUACAUGAAGAUGUUCAGGCAAUGAACAGCUGUUGUCAAGAUAUGACAUGUCGCCUACAGGCAGCAAAGGAACAGACUCAAGAUUUAAUAAUAAAAACCACUAAGCUUCAAGCUGAAAGUCAAACAUUAGAAAUAAGAGCGCAAGUUGCAGAUGCCUUCUUAUCCAAGUUCCAGUUGACUUCUGACGAAAUGAGUCUUCUCCGAGGUACAAGAGAAGGACCUAUCACUGAGGAUUUUUUCAAGGCAUUGGGAAGAGUAAAACAGAUUCAUAAUGAUGUCAAAGUUCUCUUGCGUACAAACCAACAAACAGCAGGUUUAGAAAUUAUGGAACAGAUGGCCUUGCUUCAAGAAACAUCUUAUGAAAGACUUUACCGGUGGGCUCAAAGUGAAUGCAGAGCAUUGACACAAGAAUCAUGUGACAUAUCUCCAGUACUGACUCAGGCAAUGGAAGCCCUGCAGGAUAGACCUGUCUUAUAUAAGUAUACCUUAGAUGAGUUUGGAACAGCUAGAAGAAGUACAGUUGUUCGUGGAUUUAUCGAUGCUCUUACAAGAGGGGGCCCAGGAGGUACACCUAGACCCAUUGAAAUGCACUCCCAUGACCCUUUGAGAUAUGUAGGAGAUAUGUUGGCUUGGCUCCAUCAGGCUACUGCUUCUGAAAAAGAACACCUUGAAGCUCUCUUAAAGCAUGUAACUACACAAGGUGUUGAAGAAAAUAUUCAGGAAGUUGUUGGACAUAUUACUGAGGGUGUGUGCAGGCCCCUAAAGGUUCGAAUUGAACAAGUAAUAGUUGCUGAACCUGGGGCAGUUUUAUUAUAUAAAAUUUCUAACCUCCUCAAAUUUUAUCACCAUACAAUCAGUGGCAUUGUUGGAAAUAGUGCAACUACAUUGUUGACUACCAUUGAAGAAAUGCAUUUGCUGAGCAAAAAAAUAUUCUUCAGUAGCUUGAGUCUUCAUGCCAGCAAAUUAAUGGACAAGGUUGAACUCCCACCACCUGAUCUUGGACCAAGUUCUGCAUUAAAUCAGACACUCAUGUUGUUGCGUGAAGUUUUGGCAUCUCACGAUUCUUCAGUUGUACCGUUAGAUGCCCGUCAGGCCGACUUUGUGCAGGUUUUAUCAUGUGUCUUGGAUCCUCUCCUCCAGAUGUGUACUGUAUCAGCCAGCAAUUUAGGCACAGCUGACAUGGCCACCUUCAUGGUCAAUUCACUGUAUAUGAUGAAGACAACAUUAGCUCUAUUUGAAUUCACCGACAGACGUCUGGAAAUGCUACAGUUCCAGAUUGAAGCACAUUUGGACACACUUAUAAAUGAGCAAGCUUCUUAUGUUUUAACUAGAGCAGGCGUGAGUUAUAUCUAUAACACCAUACAGCAACAUAAACCCGAACAGGGCCCUUUAGCUAAUUUUCCCAACCUAGAUUCUGUGGCACUGAAGGCUGCAAUGGUUCAGUUUGAUCGCUAUCUGUCAGCCCCAGACAACCUGUUAAUGCCACAGCUGAACUUUCUUCUAAGUGCCACAGUGAAGCAGACGACUCCCAUUCCAGCUCUGAAUUCUGCCGGGAUAGCAGGAGAGGUGCCACUUGUCCAGCUUGCUUGGGUAGCCACACCAGGAGGAACUCUGGAGACGGUGGAGGGACAGGGAUCUCUCCUCUGCAAGACUAGAGCUUUAUCUUCCAAAGUGGAGACGCCCCAGCAGGAGCGCCCCUGCCACCCAGAGGUCACCACUGAGGAAGAACGUAUGCGCUUUGUGUUUCUUGAGAAGAUAAGUUGCAGAUGACAGCGUCUGGGGAGGACCCACAGGUCCUGCUGGUCUUGGUCUGUGCCAGGAGAGAGCCGUUUCUGCCACCACACUUCAGGACAGACAUAUGCUCCUUUAUUUUUUCAAGUACUAAAAUGAAAAUGAAUACUGCCAGUCAAAAAGUACUAACUGAGAACGUGGAAUGGAGAAUGAGCGAGGAAUUGUUGCCUCUUGGUGAUGGCAUGGAAAAGCAAAGCUUUUGGAAUCAGGACAAGGUUGGAACAUAUGCUUACCUUGAAGGAAAAGCAGUGUCGGUACUGGCUACCUGGAGAGCUGUGACGGAAACCAGUCUAUGACUGAAAGCUGCAAUCAUGCCACGGGAGGUGAGAGUGAGGGUGACCGCCCACAUGAGAACAGACACACUUGUCUCCGACUGUUAAACUUCCUUUUACUGAGUCGUUGAUCACUCUGCAUUGUCAAUCACUGCUUGUCUCUGGACUAGGAAAGAGCCUGGUGGCCUGUACAGCAAGACAAAACGUGGCAGUUUGAUCGUAUCCUGUAUCUAGAGAAGAGCUUCAGGGAAGAUGGUCUGCGUAGCUCUGCAUUACGCUUCACUGGAGCACAGCUCACCAGAAGCAAAGCACUAGCAAGUGACAUUGUCCGGGACCCUUACCUCGAACUUUUUUCUACCGGAAAAAGGGGGAUAGACUGGGGAGGGGAGGGGAUGGAAGAUUCUUCCCUCCAUGUCUGACUUGAACAUCAUCCAUUUAUACCUCCUGGACCCCAGCAUUAGUUAAUGGAAGUAGGAUGUGAGAAAGUAAAAUGAGAACACAGACAGUCAGACAAUAGAAUCUCAGCCUAGGAAAGGACUUCAAAGCAUUUCUGUUCUACCCGGUUACCUGCCGUUGAAAUUCCUCUAUAAUAUCUCUGCCAAGCAGUUACCUGGUGUUUAGUUAGACAGUGAAUAAGACAAUCCACUCAGAGUGUGGCUAUCACCGUCCUCAGAAGGAUGCACUGUUCUCAGGAGGACCCUGUCACCUCUUGGAGAUCUAGAUGUUUUGGCCAUAGGUGUGACUUUUCUGACCUCAGGCAUUUUGUGUUGAUCUGGUUAGAUCGUUGGUCAGAAUGCAGGGUCACAGCUUCCAUCGUUAGGUCUCAUGACACUAGGAGGCUUAUUUGUUUAUUUUGCAAGGAGAGCCCAAGAGGAGACGAAAAAACCCCCAAAUGUUCUGCAAGCCCUUUCGCUUCCCAAACAUGGUAGCCAGCACUUCCACUGGCUCUGUUUAAGGGUUUCUUUCCCUUUGCUGUGUGUGACCAUGCCUAGCCACCCAAGGAACAGCCUGCUAUAUGCUCUGACCUGUGCUCUGAUCUUUCCUGAGGGAUAGUUUAUCGCACCAGACAUCUCGGCAGUCUGGUUCAGGCCACAGAUUCGGACCCCUGGAUUUCCCUUCCGGAUGCUAAUUUUGCCGUCACACCUCAAGGACACCACUACCCAUUCAAGCCCCAUUGCUUCCUCUUCCUUUUGUUUAUUUUCAGUCAUAGAGUUUGCCAGUAUGAUAGUAAAAUAUGACCAUAUUCAUGUAUUCUUUACUUCUAAAGAAUUGAAUGAAAAUAAAGUGAGCCAUUGCCUUCUUCUAAGGCGCUGAGGACCUUUUGGUCAAUAACCAUUACUAAGCUCUCAUUAUAUGCCAGAAGUCAACUUGAUAUUUUUUUCUAAUCCCAUCAUUGUUUUGAAAUACAUAUUUUGAAAUUGACCCUGAAAUUGACAGAUCUUUUAAUCUUUUUUUUUUUCUUUUUUUUUUUGGCGAUACGCGGGCCUCUCACUGCUGUGGCCUCUCCCGUUGCGGAGCACAGGCUCCGGACGCGCAGGCUCAGCGGCCAUGGCUCACGGGCCCAGCCGCUCCGCGGCAUGUGGGAUCUUCCCGGACCGGGGCACGAACCCGUGUCCCCUGCAUCGGCAGGCGGACUCUCAACCACUGCGCCACCAGGGAAGCCCCUUUUUAUCUUUUUAAACAUCAUUUUAAUGGUGUGGCUCUUCUGCUUCCUCCCAUCACAAUCCUUCUUGCAUUUUCUGCUCCAAGAGGUGGAGGAGUAGAGUUCUGUUCUACACCAAGGAGACAGUUGGCACUCAAUGAAUAAAAGAGAUCGUAGACCAGGGGAACACUCAGAAAAUAUAAUUAUUAAAGCAGAGAUGUAUGGUAGGGCUUUCAGCAACAGAGCUGCUUGAAACUCCUUCAGAAAGAAGAGCUAGAAUUCCUUAUCUUCCUUUUAUUUUAGCAUCCAGACUUCCCCUCCUGGCUCCUAAAAACCAACUUAAGCUCCUUUCUGCUCCACAGCUUGUCGGUGACUAAUCAUAGUAUAAAUGUUCCUCUCCAGCUAUAAGUAACACUGGAGAUGCCAAAACUCAGAGAAGCAUUAAAUCACAUGGAACGUUCGUAUCAGUAGAACGCAGGUCCUCUAAUGAUCACUACCUGCUAUAACAGUACGAUUCAAGGAUCCACCUGGAAACAGACCUCCUUAUCAUUUGCUGACAAAGAAGGCUAAGAAGUGCUUCUUAGCUGGAAAGACACUCAACUUAUAUUGUACCACUCUUGUUUUCUCCUCCCACAUGGGCCGUGUACCCUGAAGGAAAUACUUCUUAGAUGUGUUCGGAGGUUCUGUCCAUUCUUCAACCCUGAGGUGACAGUGGCAGAUGGCUACCGCCCUUCUCUUAGGCACCAUGAUACCUAAAUUACCACGUAACGAUGGGACCCAUUCUGAUGUCAGAAGCUAAUGUCCUGUGAGGCGAAUGGGCUGCUUCUCAGAAGACCUGGAAUAAAUGAGGGGCAGUGGAAGUGGUCCCCCCACCGAGUGCAAGCAGUAAGCAGGUUUCAGCAGAGGCUGUGAAAAGGUAGAGAUCAGAGCAUACAACAUUCCCUAAGGGACUUCUCGGAGGCUCACACUUCAUGUGCCAGACUCCCUCGCUUCAGGAUAAGUAUUUGACAUGCUUUGUUACCUGAUUAAACCUGCAUGUUUUUCCUUCUGGCUUAUUACUGUCUGAGGCACUGUGUGGUGAAAUGAAAAUUACUGGCAUUUGCCUGCCAAAUGCAGUGAUUCAGAGAAUUGUGAAUUAGGAUUCUUUAAUUACAGAGAUCUGUGCCUGAUAGGUUAAUUUCAAAAGCAAAGUUAACCACAUGUGUUCUAUUUAUUUUCAAACUAAUUCUAUUGAAUUACAUUUCAUUUAAAAGGUCUUCUUGGUCCCCUUUUAAUAAACAAAGAACAAAAGACAAAUGCUUUGUUAAGAUUCAAUCUCAUUUCACCUGGGCUACAGAAUGAAGAGGAAAAUUACAUUCUCAUGAAAUAGAAUUCAAACACCAGUGAUUUUUAUGAGAUGUUGCUUUAAUAGUACUAUUAUUUGGUAGUAUUAUUCUGAACUAUUUUUAUAUUAAAUUAUUUGAGAAUAAAUAAGGUGAUUUAUGGGGGGAAGACAGAAGGUUCUGUUUUAAGCUCACAUGGUUUUCUCUAUUUCCCAUUGAUGUUUAGAUUUUCAAGAAAUCACUAUAAAUGGUAUCUAAUUUUUAAUUUUAUAGACCAUUUUGUUAUUGUUAAUAGAUAUUAAUUUGAAACAACAGUAACAAUUAUUGCUACACAGUCUAUGAAGGCAGCUUCUUUAUUUUUAUUUUUUUAAUUAAUUAAUUUAUUUAUUCUUGGCUGAGUUGGGUCUUCGUUGCUGCGUGCGGACUUUCUCUAGUUGCAGUGAGCGGGGGCUACUCUUCCUUGCGUUGCCCGGGCUUUCUCAUGGCUGUGGCUUCUCUUGUUGUGGAGCACAGGCUCUAGGCGUGCGGGCUUCAGUAGUUGUGGCGCACGGGCUUAGUUGUUCCACGGCAUGUGGGAUCUUCCCGGACCAGGGUUCAAACCCGUGUCUCCUGCACUGGCAGGCGGAUUCUUAACCACUGCGCCACCAGGGAAGCCCCAAAGACAUUUACUUUUAAAGGAUAUAUCCAUUAUAGUUAUUUUAAGUUUUUCUUCCUUUAUUAAAAGCAAGGUGUGCACAUAAUAGUAAUUUGCAAAAGAUCCAGACAGUAGAGCCCCAAAUAAGAAGUUUGUCUCCCACCAUCCCCAUUACACAGAAUCACAGACUGUUAACAGUUUCAGAAUUUAUUUCCUCUAGAGCUGGUUUUAUAUUUUAUAUGAGAUGCCUCUAUUCUUUUCAAGAACUUUUUUUUUUUUUUAGCAUAUGCCCCUCUGUUACAUUAACCUCCAAUUUCCUAGGCUCCUCCCCAGAAGCAAAGCAUCUUGGGUGCCUCUUACGCAUGCUCCUGGAUAUUAUAUUAUCUAGGUAAUUAUUUAAAUGACUCUCAAGUGGAAGAUAGUUUCAAAAUGCUAACAACUUCUGCAUUUAAAUAAAAUGUGAAUAUAAGCAUGAAAAUGCUGUAGGGAAAGCACAGGUUGUUUCUCCUUUUAUAUAAUCCUUCAGGAUGUCAUUCCCUUGGAAAACUCUUCAGAAGUGGUGUCCCCCUCAUUGCCUCUGUCCAGGGACCUCACUGUCCUUCAUACACGGUGCAUACACUCCUCGUCCCCAGAUUAUUUACACUCACAGGGAGAUGCAGCUACCCCCAACUGGGUAGGAAAACCUUGCUUUGUUUGGGGGCUCCUUGUGACUCUGUUCUUUGAUUCUGUGCCAUGACACGCUUUGCAGGUAAACUCACCUCAUAGCACCAAGAGCUUGUAGUAUUAAAUUGAUCUCACUUCUUAGGUUGGCAUCCAAGAUAAACUCUCCCUAUACCAAAUUCUAACCAUUAAAAUAAAGCUCAAAUGUUUGGAGGGUAGUUUUAAAACUGUAACAUUAUUUCUUUAAAAUGACCACAACACAACAAACUUUUCUGGCCUUUCACACACCUUGAAUUUUGGUAACUCUUCCCAAAGCUAAAUGGGAAAAAAUUAAAGGCCAAUAUAUUAGUUUAUAUUUACUUUUAAAACAAUUAUUUUAUGUUUCUAUAACUGAUUUAUAACCAGUUGAUAAGAACUUCCAUUUUUCUGUUGCCCUCCUGGCUGUUUUUAAGGCACUGAGGUUCUACUGAGAAGGUUCUACUGAGAAGCCUUCUAAGAAGAUGUGUUGGGACCCAGUUCUUGAUUUAACAUAAAUUCUGAGAUUCCCUGCUGUUCCCUGUGAAUCCUUGAGUGGAUUGAGGAAAAUGAGAGAAACAUAAUUCUAAAACAGUAUAGCACGAUGCUACAAACUUUCUUUUUUUUUAUUUCUUUUAUGUUUUAUUUCUUUUCUUUUAUGUUUUAUUUCUUUUAUGUUCCCUUUAAAAACAAGGUAUAGGGUCUUCCCUGGUGGCGCAGUGGCUAAGAAUCCACCUGCUGAUGCAGCGGACACGGGUUCGAGCCCUGGUCUGGGAAGAUCUCACCCCAGACCGUGGAGUAACUAAGCCCGUGCGCCACAACUACUGAGCCUGCACUCUAGAGCCCGCG